GCAGACAAAAGACUAGGCUCAACAUAUCACAUCAUGAUAAGGAAAUUUGUUUUCAGAGAAAGCAUCUAGGACAUCAUAGACCGGCUCUACAAUAUCUGAUUCAAUCAAAAACCAAACGAAGUCCACGGCUGUAGGGGCUGUCAUAUUUAUUCAGUACUUACUUGGGAAUUAGGAUAGAUGCUUCACUCAUUGCAACAAAUGCUAAAUCAAUAGUUUAGAGAUUCAGCAAUUCGGAAAAAGAAACUAAUUACAUAGCCUUAAUUUAGUACUACCUCUCUAUAAUGAUGAAGAAACAAAUCUAGUAGUACAUGGUGUUAAUUUUGUGCUCGACUAUCUGUUGUGGAUGCCAAAUUAUUGAAAACUUACACAUUAAUUUCAACCCAACAAACUGUAGACUACAAUCUAAGAUGAUUCUCAGAGAUCUGGUCAUAGAUUGAUAGAAUAAUCACAUUUGUUUUCAUCUUAUGUGGUGUGACAUAUUUAUCAUGUCGUACAUAGGCAUAAAGUAACAGCCUCCAUGCUCAUAAUCAACCAACCUAGGUGUCGGUGAUUAAGCAAAAUAGGUCUUAAAUUUUAGGGCGAAAAAGAAAUAAAAAAUCUGUUCAAAAUGGUCCCUACAAGGCUACAAUGAAAAGUUAACAAGAACAAUUAGUCAGGAAAUUAAAGUGGUGUUUGAUGUUAAAGAAAAUCAAACGGGCAAUAGGAAGCACCUUUUCGUCUUAAAUGCGACAUGUAUGGCUCCAUAUUCAAACAAGCCAUCAUUGACUUGUUCUUCAUCCUCUCAUUUUCAAAGUCCCUGUCCCUACCAUCCCUUCUCAGCCA
rnacentral:lncRNA from 1 species